rnacentral:lncRNA from 1 species
ACACACACAAUUUUCAUUUUCAUGCUCUGUUCUUCGGUCCAAACACACACACAAAUAUUGUCUUUCAUGCUCUCUUCUUUAAUACAAACCUUUCACCUCCAUACUCUGUUCUUCAAACCUUUCUCCUUCAAUCAAUCAAUCAAUCAAUCUCUCUAACUAUUUUCUCCUCUUGAAUCAAUUUAUUUCACAACCAAAUGACAUCGACGUUGCCGCAAUUACGGCGAAGCGGCGGCGAUUACAGCGAAGCAGCGGCGAUGCGGCGAUUACGACGAAGCGGAGAUGUCGAAAUAACGCCAGGACGAUGCUGGCAAUGAACUAGCAGGAUCUAUAGUUCUCUGUUUCCGUUAUAUUCAUUUUUUUUUCUAUUGAAAUUUGAAAAUUUAUGUUUUUCAAUUGCAUAUGGUUUUCUUCCUCCUCAUUCGGUUGUACUUUUAGCAAGAUUUAUUGUAUUUUAAUGAUAAGCAACACACAAAGCUUGUUGCUUCAGCAGACAACUGACAAAAAAAAAUUAGGUAACGGUAACGCCACAUGUAUUUUCUCCAACCCUGAGAACUCUGACACAGAGAACCAAAACCUCCAUGUUAAUAGCACCUACACAUAUGUUACAUGUUUUCUUGUAAAUCAAAUUUAUCUUUCACCAAAGUUAAUCCUCUCAUAAUAUUAAGAUCUAUUUAAAAUGAUUCCUCAAAUCGAACAAUUUCAAAAUCGAUUUGAGGGGUCGUUUCAGUUCCGGCAUUAAUCUCUAGUUAAAACAAUUCCAUAAUAGAGA